rnacentral:rRNA from 1 species
AUUGAACGCUGGCGGCAGGCCUAACACAUGCAAGUCGAGCGGAGCGGCCGACGGGUGAGUAAUGCCUAGUAAUCUGCCUGGGAGUGGGGUAUAACGUCCGGAAACGGGCGCUAAGACCGCAUACUAUCAGAUUCACCUAGGUCGGAUUAGCUAGUUGGUGGGGGAAAUGCCUACCAAGGCGAAGAUCCGUAACUGGUCUGAGAGGAUGAUCAGUCAACAUGGAAAGGAGACACGGUCCAGACUCCUACGGGAGGAAGCAGUGGGGAAUAUUGGACAAUGGGCGAAAGCCUGAUCCAGCCAUGCCGCGUGUGUGAAGAAGGUCUUCGGAUUGUAAAGCACUUUAAGUUGGGAGGCGUUACCAACAGAAUAAGCACCGGCUAACUUCGUGCCAGCAGCCGCGGUAAUUC